UUAUCAGUGAUGACAACAGCUUCCAAGAUCUCACCAAACUGCUCAAAGUACGUUUUCAUGGUAUCUUUCUGGGUUUCCCAAGCCAACCCACCAACAAACACUUUUGUGUAAGUCGUAUCACCAAACUGUCCGGCCGUGUAAUUAGUAGGUGUCGCCGCCGCAGCCGCCGCCGGAGUCAUCUUUCUUUUCUCUUGUUUUCUUGGAUCUUCUUUAGGUGAAAUUGGGGUUUGCUAUAAGGGAAGUGGUGAAGAGUAGCUAGCUAGGGUUUAAUUGAAAAGAAGAAAACAAAGGGGGAAAGAAAGUGAUGGUGUUGAUGAUCAAGCAGACAAUUGGGUCAGAGAUCCAGCUAUUAAACUGCGAGGG
rnacentral:lncRNA from 1 species